rnacentral:rRNA from 1 species
UACGUAGGGUGCAAGCGUUGUCCGGAAUUAUUGGGCGUAAAGAGCUCGUAGGCGGCUUGUCGCGUCGGCUGUGAAAACCUAGGGCUCAACCUGGGCCUGCAGCCGAUACGGGCAAGCUAGAAUUCGGUAGGGGAGACUGGAAUUCCUGGUGUAGCGGUGAAAUGCGCAGAUAUCAGGAGGAACACCGGUGGCGAAGGCGGGUCUCUGGGCCGAUAUUGACGCUGAGGAGCGAAAGCGUGGAGAGCGAACAGG